UAACUUGGUGUUGCUCUUACCUCCUAUCUUGUCGAUUCAAAUUAGAGGCUUUUUGAAUCUGUAAUUUGGGUCAACGCAGAAAAAGAAGAGAUUUUUAAUCAUGUUUAUUGCUAAAUUGGUUAAUUUUGCAGCUCCGUCAGUGAAGGGUACAUGUGAGUUUGAAAGAGUUUAUGUGGCUGGGCCUCUUGAUGCUUGUCAGAAUCUUUUGAAUACACCAGAAGAACAUAGCUCAAAUGAAACUUCCCAUUUUGUGUUGAUUGUAAGAUGAGGCUGUAGUUUUGAGGAAAAAGUGAGAAAAGCACAGAGAGCUGGUUUCAAAGCUGCCAUAUCUAUAACAAUGAAGAUUGUGGAACCUUGAUAGCAAUUUUGAGCUUUAGGUUCUUUAGCGGUGGAUUUGCCACGGCGGUGACGUUUGUGACUGGAAACGCCAAGAAGCUUGAAGAAUCAAAGUUAUGCACGACAUUUCUAUUCCUUUCAAGUCUCUUAAACUUGACCUUGCCUCAGCUUCGUGGUGACCCCAGUUUUGGGUUGGGUCAGUGAGAUGUGGUUUGAUGAUCCAAGAAAAUUGGGUGACAAAGUUUCAGAGAUUGUAAAGAGGCAAGCGGUUGGUCAAUAGACGUAGUAAAGUUGUUCACAAGUCCAGUGGAGUUCAGUAAGUGGUUUUCUUGUGAUUGCUUUGUGCCCUCUAUAACACAUUCUUGGAGUUUUGUUAAGUGUUUGACGAGAUUGUGUUUAUCUAGUUUCCAUGGUUAUGUUUCAUUGAUUGAGACUCUUGCAUUUGCAAAUUCUUUUUAAUUUGUCUAACACAUGCUUACAAGGAUUAUGCAUGAGAAUGGUAACGGGAAGGCGAAAGACAUAGAGAAGAUGAGAUUGAAGUUUGUCUUCAUAAUGUUAGCUUUAUUUUUGCUUAAAACUUGUAUGAUGUUGUUAUGUAAAAAUGGCUAAUGUAAUAAUAUGGUUAUGUAUGUUUGAUUA